rnacentral:rRNA from 1 species
CCUACGGGAGGCAGCAGUGGGGAAUAUUCCGCAAUGGGCGAAAGCUUGACGCAGCGACGCCGCGUGAGCGAUGAAGGUCUUCGGAUCGUAAACUUCUGUCAGCAGGGAAGAACGGUCACUGUGCUAAUUAGUAGCAGACUGACGGUACCUGCUCAGGAAGCACUGGCUAACUCUGUGCCAGCACCCGCGGUAAUACAGAGGUCGCAAGCGUUAUCCGGAAUUAUUGGGCGUAAAGCGUUCGUAGGCGGUUUGUUAAGUAAGGGGUUAAUUCCCGGGGCUCAACCCGGGAUCGGUUUUGAUACUAGCAAACUAGAGUUAGUGAGAGGUUAGCGGAAUUCCAGGUGAAGCGGUGAAAUCCGUAGAUAUCUGGAGGAACAUCAGAGGCGAAGGCGACUAACUGGCUCAUAACUGACGCUGAGGAGCGAAAGCGUGGGUAGCAAACAGGAUUAGAUACCCCUGUAGUC